rnacentral:rRNA from 1 species
UACGUAGGGUGCGAGCGUUGUCCGGAAUUACUGGGCGUAAAGAGCUCGUAGGUGGGUUUGUCGCGUUGUUCGUGAAAACCUGAGGCUUAACCUUGGGCGUGCGGGCGAUACGGGCAGACUAGAGUACUGCAGGGGAGACUGGAAUUCCUGGUGUAGCGGUGAAAUGCGCAGAUAUCAGGAGGAACACCGGUGGCGAAGGCGGGUCUCUGGGCAAUAACUGACGCUGAGGAGCGAAAGCGUGGGGAGCAAACAGG